GAUGAACGCUGGCGGCGUGCCUAAUACAUGCAAGUAGAACGCUGAAGGAAGGAGCUUGCUCUUUCCGGAUGAGUUGCGAACGGGUGAGUAACGCGUAGGUAACCUGCCUGGUAGCGGGGGAUAACUAUUGGAAACGAUAGCUAAUACCGCAUAACAGUAGAUGUUGCAUGAUAUCUACUUAAAAGGUGCAAUUGCACCACUACCAGAUGGACCUGCGUUGUAUUAGCUAGUUGGUGAGGUAACGGCUCACCAAGGCGACGAUACAUAGCCGACCUGAGAGGGUGGUCGGCCAAACUGGGACUGGGACACGGCCCAGACUCCUACGGGGGGGAGCAGGAGGGAAUCUUCGGCAAUGGACGGAAGGCUGACCGAGCAACGCCGCGGGAGGGAAGAAGGGUGUCGGAUCGGAAAGAUCCGUUGUAAGGGAAGAACGAGUGUGAGAGUGGAAAGUUCACACUGUGACGGUAUCUUACCAGAAAGGGACGGCUAACUACGUG
rnacentral:rRNA from 1 species